AUCUUUCUGCAUGCACAGCCGGAUCCAGACACCAUGAAAGAUAUUAUGAGUCAGAGAGGCUAAGAAAGUCAGAUAAAACUGGUGGGAGAGAAGCACACUGCCCAGCUCCAGGCCUUGGAGAGGAGAAAUACAUUUCUUUGCCUUUCAUUUUAUACUGCUGUAGAUCCAUGGAUGAAUGGAAAUGCCUUUCUAAUAUGCCCAUAGCCUUUAUUUUCCUGUACAUUUCCAAUAAUUGGGGUUAAUAGGCCAUAGGAAAAUGAGUUUUUGUGAGUUGUUCAGACUUUCUUUUUUUUCUUUUUUUUUUUUUUUUGGUACCGGAGAUCGAACUCGGGUCCUUGCGCUUCCGAGGCAUGCGGCGGAACCACUGAGCUAAAUCCCCGGCCCAGUUGGGACUUUGUUACUGGCUUCAAGAUAACAGAUUCUUAACUUUGGUUCUUAAUUUUUCCAUCCUUCUCUUUGUGAUGCAAAUGACAUUUUAAACAUGGAUUUUAUAUUUUAUGCUUUUUAAUGUAUAUUUUCUUCAAAAGGAAGUUCUGCACAUGUCCUUAGAAAUAGCUUAACUGUUUCAAACAAUUUGUAGGAUAACAAAUGUUUUCUUUUUCAUUUACUGAGAAAAUAUCUGCAACUGUCCCAUCAUUAAAGUAGAGUAUAGACAUUGUAGAAAGAAAUACCUUUUCAGAACAUGACUGAGCCCUUCCCCGAAAUCAGAUUGCAGCUGAAAACAGAUGCCAAUUGGAUAUGCAAGUGGAGAGCUUCUGAUAUCACCAGCCUCAAGAAAAGCAUUUCUCGGAAGCAGUGAAAUUCCUGAGAAGUGGGUUACUGGGCUUGAUCUAACCCAAGUACUCCAGCAUUUUCGGAGUCACACUACAAACAUGAAGAAAGUAACUUCACGUGACCAAUGAAAUUUAAAAGGUGAAAUCCGAGACUGUGAGAAUCAGACCAAGAAAUGAU
rnacentral:lncRNA from 1 species